GGGGCUAUCGUAUAAGGGUAGUACUAAAGAUUCUCAGUCUUUCAGCCGGGGUUCGAGUCCCCGUAGCCCUA
rnacentral:tRNA from 1 species